UUAUGAUGCAAAUGGAAGAAAACACUAAAAAGCAGUGGAUACGGCCACCGGGAAAUCAGUAGGAAUGGAUCUACCCUAGGCACAGAUGUACCAAUACAGUUCGAACUAUGAAAAUAAAGAUGAAAAGAUACAUUGAGAAUUCAUUUUCAGUAAAAAGCAGAACUGUGACACAGGAGCAUCACCUGUGAAAGGUUACAAAUGAUACAAAUGACACCAAUAAAGGAUAUAUGAGCAACCGUUAAUAUAUACCAGAAACAGGAGGCAGUUAAAAAAUUAAUAAACAAAGACAGAAAACUUGCAAAUGACCCUGCAUGAGAACUGAACACCAGACAGUAUCGUUACCAAACAAUAUUCUUUUGGAGGGAUUUCUGUUUAAAGAAAUUGGAGGGAAAAAGUCAAAGAUGAUUAUUUCAAGUGUCACUUUUUAAACCCACUUUCUUCACUGGACAGCACUAACACCCCAUACAGCAAAACUCGUUUAGUACAAACACGGAUAUUGUGAAUUUACGGAUAAAGCGAAGUCAACUUGGAUCCCUAACUAUAUAAAUUUAACACAUUCCUUAUACAGAUAUAACAAAUAACGGAUAUAGCAAAGUAAUUUCGAAGGUCCCCAUGCCUUUGUUAUAACUAAGUUUAAUUACUGUAACAGUAAACGUCUGAUGUAAAAAAAAAAUGGUAACUUUAAGUCUAGCUAUUUGAACUAAAUUGUUAUGUAACAGAUUUUUUUUUUU